ensembl:lncRNA
CAGCGCCCCCUCCCCACCUCGCGCACUCGCGCGCCAGACAGCCCUGUGAUCCAAUGGCGUUGCGGCGCCCCGACUUCCGCAGCCAAUCAGAGGACGUUGGCCUCACCGCGCCCCUCCUCCGUGCUGAGGACCGGGGCGAGGGGCUGAGGCUCGACCGCGGCUGUCGCCCGAGGGCGACCGAGAGUCAUGCUCGCUGGUGGGGGCGUGUGAGGGCGGCUUUGCCUCCGCCUCUGCUCACUUCCUUUCUCAGGAAUGGUGGGCGCCGUCCCCACCCCUCACUGGCAGUGACGGUGGACAACAAAGGGGCUCGGGGUGGCGGCCAGACAAAGAGGGGGACUUGGAGGGUUGCAGCGCCGGGGGAAGUUGGGAACAAAGCUAGGGGGCUGGGAGCUACAGGGAGACGCACUACAAGAAACCAAAAGCAGAAAGUGCCUUUGUCUCCCUUGCUGCCCAAACUUGCGGAAAUCCGGGUGGUCCUGUCUCACCCGCCGCCCACCUGGGCCUGAUCGGCCACGCUGGGACGAUGCCCUCACCGCGCAACCAGCCGAGAGGGAAACAGGUCGGACCUGGGCAGCGCCCGAGGGAAAGCCUGGGUAGCCAGCGGCCAGCAUUUAAAGGCCCCGCCUCCUCAAAGGAAAGGCUGCUGGCUUUCGCCCGAUUCUCGGUACCAGGUCGGUGCUGGCGCCGACAAAUGGAGGUCCCACCGAGAUCGGAGAAGAAAGGGGGUACCACCUACGGGACGUCCCUGGAGCCCGGCCAGCAUAGGAGGAGAAGGGACGGAUUGGACGUAAGAUGGGUCAGGAAAGGCCUGGAUGAUUUGGGCUAGCCUGAGUAAAACUUGUCAUAAAAAAGGGACAAGAAUGCUACAGGAGUGUGCCAGCUGCCUGAGAGUCUGAGCCAUGCUGAUCCUGGGAGCAUGAAGAUUCAAUUCAGCUCUCGUGGUUCUGGUUCCUGGAGUCAUUCCUGUGCCCUUAGAGGAAGACGGAGGAUUCCCCCUCAUCUUUUGUCAUCACAGAAAUUCUGGCAUUGCUGCAGUCAUUGUGUCCUGUCCCAUCUCGGCCUGCCCUCCGACCCUCUGUGCACUGCUGCUUGCUGGAAGCUGCUGUGGACUGGGGAACUCUGCCCUGGUUCUGCAGAUCUCAGACAUGGUUCCAUUGCCUGCUGGUUGGUCCAGAGAAGAAUGACUGAUCCUGAACUGUCCUGGGAAAGACCUAGGCAUUUUCGCUGCUAUUGUGGCAGCCAUUACUGCUGCAGCCAUUGUGUCUGCAGUGUCUGGAGUUACCCUCCCCCAAUCUAUUGUUAGGCAAGCACAGUGGGUGAACUUUCUGGAGUAGUUGCUAACAAUUGGGAAUUCUAAAUUUUAUUAUAGGAGCGGCUUGACUACGGCCCUUGGUGGUAACAGCUGAGGAGAACCAGAUGAGGUGCCCACUACUUAUCAGGAGAGGCUCAACUUCCACAAUCUCUUAAAUUAACGCCAUCUGGCCUCUGCUCCUUCGCCCCUGGGCUCAAGUAAGAGGAAUGACAAGAUGAUCCAAUGUAGCUAUCCUCAGGGACGGGCAACUUCCUCUGACCCUUGACCAAUCUAAGGCAGGAACCUUGGGGGCGACAAGGUGAUCCUAUGACAGAUAAGGCUGGGGUUUGAGAGGUCGAUCCUAAGACAGAGGUGGCUACACCCCGUUUAAACGUACGGGCCGGUCAAAUGCUCCUCUGCCCAGUUUCUCCCCCAAUAAACACACGUAUAGCCCAGAACAGUGUGUUACAGCAUAAGUUCAUUUCUGGCCAUUGGGGUGCAGUCCUAACUGCAAGAGUGGCUCGCCAUGGCCGAGCUGGGCACUCUGUGAGGCAUGUCUGAUCUCUCUCAGACCACUACUUCCACCUAAUGGUCUUUUAUAUAUAAAUAACGGGGGAGAUGUAGUGCCAUAUUGGAUUUGGGCCUGACUGCUUUGCAACUGCAUGGCCACAGUUAAGAAGUCAUGGGAUUGUUGGACAGAGGCCUCUCCCAUGUAUUUACGGCACAGGAAGAAAAGACCAAGUAGUAAACACCCGAUAUCUCCACUGCAUGACCUCUGCUGAGCCCGGCUGAUGCACGUGGAACUGACACACCUGGACCACACCUGGGUGGUGGUCAAUUUACUUCUGCCUUUUACUUCCUCAGCCUUUAUCCUUGAGAUUUAGG